CCGAAAGAUGGCAGCUCAAUUUCCUGCCGUAGAAAACAAGACAUUAGGACGUUGCCGUAUCAGCUUAAGGUAAAAGUUUCAGAUGCCACCCAUACUCAAGAUUUGCACUCCUGGAGCACAGCCGAGUCCACCCAGCUUUUCAGUUUCCCCCAUCACUGCGCUAUUCUGAGGAGGUGUGCGAGUGAAACAGCUGUAUGAUGAAGGCUGCACAUAUGGGGUACUAAGGAAGAUGUGUUUGCAACACACUGCGAUUACUUGUGAGAGCUGUCAGUCUUUCCAGAAUAAAUGAGGAACGGCGGAUGGUAAAGAGUAAAUCGCUGACAUUGUGAAAUAACAAAGAAGUUGCCUCUG